GCUAAAGUUACUACGUUUUAUAUUCUUGUCUUAGAAAAAAAAAAAAAACCAAAAAACUACGAUGCUUAAUUUAAGAACAAGGUUGUUUCAAGGGUCUAUAUGUAGCUCUGGUCAUUCUGGAAUUUGUUAUCUAGCCAAGCCUGGUCUGGAACUCACAGAUCACCUGCCCCUGUUUUCUGAGUGCUGGCAUUAAAGGAGUGUGCCACUAUACAAGUUUACUUUGUUUUGAAUUCACCUUGCCAAAGGGAAAAACUAUGACAUGUGAUUGGUUCUCAACUCUCUGUGCAACAACCCCCCCCCCCCCCCACCAUGGUGUAUGAUAUUUGAAAAGGUUGAGUUGUGAAGGCCUUUUCCUGGGUGAGAAUAGAAUCAUGAGUGUUGUUGUGUUGUGUUAAAUGAUAGAUUUUACCUUAGGAUACUUACGUGAAUAAGAAUACAUUUUGUGUUAUAUACAGAUUAUGAAUAUAAUUUGUUGGAGCUGGAGAGAUGGCUUAGCAGUUAAGAGCACUGUCUAUUUUUUCAGAAGUUCUGAGUUCAAUUCCCAGCAACCACAUGGUGGCUUACAACUGUCUAUAAUGGGAUCUGAUGCCCUCUUUUGUCAUGUAAACAUAAGUGCAAAUAGAGUACUCCUACAGUUCACAAAAACAAAAAACAAAAACCCACAAUUUGUCAAGCAGAAGCUCUCCUGAUCUACACAGUAAAUGCCAGGACAGCCAGAGUGGCACAGUAAAAUCCUGUCUCUGGGGUGAGCAAUGGUGUAUAUUUAAGAGAGGGUUUCUGUGUAUAACUACCAUGGCUGUCCUGAAUCUAUCCUUGUAGCCUAGCCUGACUUUGCCUUCUGAGUGCUGGGAUCAAAGGUGUGCGCCCCCCACUCCUGGCUGAGUAAGUCAUUAUAAUCUUAAGUGAGUAAUUACUAAAUUUAUAUUUUGGGGUAGGUUGAAGAUUAAUACUGUCUCAUCUUUUUAGAAAUCUAGUAAAAAUUGGUUGGUGAAAGUUGUCAUGACUAAAUUGACUUCAAUUCUAUUGCUAUGUUGUUACAGAACCUUAUUUUUUAGAGCUAAAAGCCACCUUAAAGAUUUGUCCAAUUCAUUUUAUAGAAAAGCAAAUAGAUCUAUAAACUGAUCCAGGUCUGAAAGGGUGAUUUAAUGUUCAUAGGGAUAAUCAGAGUUUGUGACAUUGUUUAGCCUAUGUGUAAUUGUUCAUCUUAGUUACCCUGUAGAAUGAAAUAAACCCUUUUACUUCAAAUUCUUUAAAACGUUUUAAAAUUUAUAUGUAUGACUGUUUACCUUAAUAUAUAUAUGUGUGUUCUAUGUUCUAUGUUUCUAUAUAGUGCCAGCUGAGGAACUGGAAUUACAGAUUGCUGGGGGUUUUUUUUUGUUUGUUUGGUUUGGUUUUUUUGGUUUUUUGGCUUUUCGAGACAGGGUUUUUCUGUGUAGCCCUGGCUGUCCUGGAACUCACUCUGUAGCCCAGGCUGGCCUCGAACUCAGAAAUCCACCUGCCUCUGCCUCCCAAGUGCUGGGAUCAAAGGCUACAGACUGCUGUGAUCUGCCUUGUGGGUGCUGGGAACGGAACCGUAUCAACAAGUGCUCUUAACAUCUGAGCCAUCUCUUAAUGCUCCCUCUCCCACUUUUGAGACAGGAUUUUUCUGUGUUGCCCUGGCUGUCUUGGAACUUGCUAUAUAGAUCAGAAACUUGCUAUGUAUAGACCAAGUUGGCCUCUCAGAUCCACCUGCCUCUACCUCCCAAGUGCUGGAAUUAAAGGUCUGUACCACUGAGGUGGGCUGUUUGUUUGUUUAUUUAUUUUGGUUUUUCGAGACAGGGUUUCUCUGUAUGAUCCUGCUGUCCUGGAGCUCACUUUGUAGACCAGGCUGGCCUUGAACUCAGAAAUCCGCCUGUCUCUGCCUCCGGAGUGCUGGGAUUAAAGGAGUGCGCCACCACCAGCUUGUUUGUUUAUUUUGAUGUUGUCUGUCUUGGUAGUCUGCACAGCCAACAGGAAUUGUGUUGAGAUUCUUUUUGUAGUUGAUUUAAUGUUUAUGCCUGGGUGUAUGUAUGUGAGUGCAUGUGGUUGUGAGUAGCUGUUAGUGUUGGGACCAAAUCUGGGUCUUCUGCAAGAGUAGAGUAGGAAGCUUUCUCAAGUGCUGAGCUGUUUCUCUAGUCCCUAGUUACUCUUUUAAAACUCUAGCAUGCAGCUAGGUGUACUGGCAUAUUCCUUUAAUCCUAGCAUUUUAAAGGUAGAGGUAGGUAGAGCUCUGUAAGUUCACAGCUAGCCUGGUUUAGAUAGCGAGCUCUAGAACAGUUGGCUACAUAGGCCUUGUCUCAAAAAACAACCUCCAAAAGGUGAAAAGUUCAAUAUGCAAGGAAAAAAAACCUUGUUAGACAUUUAUUAAUUACAUUGCUGAGUUUUAUAAAUUGUCUAGGUAAUGAACAUACCAAUGUCAGGUAUUAGAACAUAAUUAAAUGAAACUUCAAAACAUUUAAAUUGUUUAUGUGUGUGUGUUCUAGAGCACAGAUUGCAGUGUGCCUUUUGAGGUCAGAGAACAAUUUUCAGGCUUCUCACCUUGAUAUGUGGCUCCUCUGACUGAACUCAGGUCACCUGGCUUGACGGCAUGAGCCUUUAUUGCCUCAGCCUUCUUGCUAUACCUUUGCAUAUAAUAAUACUAGUCAGGGCUGGCUGCAAAUUUACAGUGUAGGAGGAUGACCUUGAACUCUUGCUCCUCCUGUGUCUGCUUUUCCAGUGCUAGGGAUACAGAUGUAUCACAUGCCCAGAUAAAACUUCAAAACUUUUAAAUGUUGCAUUUUUCUUUUUUUUUUUGGCACAUAUAUAUAUUUGCCAGUCUCAAUCUUGAAAUGUUGUAAACCAGGAAUAUUUGAGUAACAGACUACAUUCUUAGAGGCUAGGCUCCUGGUGUCUUUGUAAUGUUGGUCUGCCCCCACCUCCACCACUGCCCCCACCCUUACCCAUACACAGUGGGUGUGCAGUAAAGGAGUGAGGAGGAGUAGCAGAAGCAAAGUUGAGCCCCAAAUUUCCCACCAGCUAUUGGAGGGCUCUUACUGAGGAUGUGUAGAAAAACAUGGGAGAGAAAGACUUUCCUGUGUGUAAUUAAAUUCAUACUUCCUUGUGCUGGAGAAUUAGAGUAGUGGUUAAGAGCACUAGCUGUUCUUCCAGAGGACCCAGGCUCAAUUCCCAGUACCCACAUGGUAGCUCACAACUGUUUGUAACUCUAGUUCCAGGGACUCUGAUAACCUCAUACAGACAUUUACAGGUAAAAAAACCAAUGAAUACAAAAUAAAAAUAAAACAUUUAAAAUUUAUACUCUCUAAGGAAAGGGUAAGGCGUGCUAUUUGAUCUGAUCGGUCUGCUAAAGGAGCCUGCUUUAUUUAGGUUUGUUACUUGUCUGCAGUCUUGGGACCUUUAUAUACUCUGCUGUAGGUUCUUCACCUUAAGGGUUUUUUAAAGUUGGUGAUUAUCAUUGGAGGUAAGGCUCACUAGUAAACCAUUCUGCUUGCUGUUCUUCCCUAACGAGGAAUAUUUCAUACUCUGCCUAAAACAUUACCUAGAAAUAUUUGUAGCACCACCAACAAUCCUUAAUGGAUUAAUCCAUGAAAGGAAAACUUAACUUUUUUUUUUAUUUUUUUAAACUUGAAUAUUUUUCAGGUGGGCAGACAAGUAGAACAAUUCUGGUAGUGUAAGCAGGAUUUGUCAAUACUUUUAGUUUUAGGCAAUGGCUUCCUUGUAAUAUUCUUACUCCAACAUAGAAAAUUAAAAAAUUUGCUAGGCUUAACCCCAGCAUUCAGGCAGAGGCAGGUGGAUCUCUGAGUUCAAGGCCAGCCGGGUCUACAGAGUGAGCUCCAGGGAAGCCAGGAUUACACAGAGAAACCCUGUCUCAAAAAACAGUCUGCCCCACUGGGCAGUGGUGUCUCACACCUUUUUAAUCCCAGCAUUUGGGAGGCAGAAGCAGGUGGAUUUCUGAGUUCGAGGCCAGCCUGGUCUACAGAGUGAGUUCCAGGACAGCCAGGGCUGCACAGAGAAACCCUGUCUUG
rnacentral:lncRNA from 1 species